AAUGCGAUMUUGGUGUGAAUUGCAGAAUCCCGCGAACCAUCAAUUCUUUGAACGCAAGUUGCGCCCGAAGCCAUUCGGCCGAGGGCACGCCUGCCUGGGUGUCGUGAAUCCCCUUGCCCCCGGGCACCCGCACGAGCAUCGUCGCGGAUAUGUCCGGGSGCAGAAUAUGGUCUCCCGCCGGGUCGGCGUGCGCGGCACGUCGUGGGGCGGUUGGCCGAAAAUCGAGCAUUGCGACGUCGGGCUCCACGGCGUUCGGUGGAUCGAACGCGAUUGGCUGCGCCGUGGUCCCGUCAUAUGCCGCGGGCUCCGGAMUACGAUGAUUCCCGAGUGCGAUCCCAGGUCAGGSGGGGCUACCCGCUGAGUUUAAGCAUAUCAAUAAGCGGAGGAAAAGAAACUAACGAGGAUUCCCUUAGUAGCGGCGAGCGAACCGGGACGUGCCCAGCGUGAAAAUCGUCCGCCUUUCGGCGGCCGAAUUGUAGUCUGGAGAAGCGUCCUCAGUGACGGACCGGGCCCAAGUUCACUGGAAGGUGGCGCCGGAGAGGGUGAGAGCCCCGUC
rnacentral:rRNA from 1 species